rnacentral:tRNA from 1 species
GUAGCAUAGUGGUUAAGCGGUCGUUUCGUAAUCGAAAGUACGUGGGUUCGAAUCCCAACC